CCAGCGGGCCUAGCAUGACCGCCAUAGAAACAGCUUUUGUCUACCGAAGAAUCGACAAAAUGACAGAUUGAAGAAAGAUUUCUAUCGACCCGAGCAUGGCGAUGUUUGACAUCGAGAAAAGAAAUGUUUCUUUUCUUCGUCGACAUGUGUCUAUCGCGUCGAGCAUGACGACUAUAUUUUCUCUACUUUUGACAUUUGGGAGUAGAUAUAACUUUCUAUAUGAAAUGUCAAAUACUCUACAUCUCAUCGGACCUAGACAAGAGUAGACAAGAAUAUUAUUAUAAUUUUAAGAUCUCAAAAAGCAUUUACAAAGUAUGUCGGGGUCCUACCGUCGUCAUGUGGUCAGUUUUUAUGCUGAGAAGAAUCAGUGUAAAGCUCAAAGAACGAGCUAUACGAGUGUUAAGCCUCUCGACAUUGAAAACGUAAAUGUGCAGAGAUGGUGCAGUAUUUGUGCGGAAUCUGUCUCCUAGGAUAUCUUAGGGACUGCCUGUUCAUAUCAAUCAAUGUUCUUUGUUCGGGUCCUAGGUCAUUAACAACAUUACUAACCACUGUUAGCAAAUUUUUUAAGCAAUUUGUUUUUGCAGUGAAUACAAGGGUGCCUAUGCUACAACUCUUCCCGAAGAAAGGCAGAAAGAGAGACACACUAAUGACCUUAGCGGUAGCUUACUACAAGCUGCAACUCACAGAAGAGCAACUAUUAUGAAUAUCUUUGUAUAUCAACAGUUCUUCAAACCAUACAGACAGAAUUGAGUUGCUGGGGAGUUUGUUCCACCGCUUCUGCUGCUGAUUUUCAGCCUAUUUUGAAUGAAUGACUAUCUGUAGCCUUAAUUUUAUGUAAAUAAACCUUUACCUCUGUGUAAA